rnacentral:lncRNA from 10 species
CACAGCCAUCCAGGAACAACCAGAAAUCAGACUACUGUCUCCGCCACCCUCAGGGGUUCCAUUCAGGGAGUCCACCUCCCAAGAAGGAGAAAGUGAAGAGAAGAGAGGGAGAAGGGCCCUGACCGAGGCCACCAGCUUUUACCUCCAAUUAACUCUAGGUAACCCAGCCCAGUCUUUGAUUCUGUGUUGAAAGGUGCGAGGUGCUGGAGCCGGGAAGAGGUGCGUUCUUGCUCUCGACAGGAAGUGUCAUGUGAGUUUCCGGUUCCCUCUCCUCCACUACCACUCUGGAUCCUCACACCAGCCCACAGAGGGAGACAGGAAGGGAGGCACAAAGGCAGGGCAGGGAAUACUGUGCCUGUUUUCCAGAUGAAGACACGAAGGCCAAGAGAGGGAAAGUGAGUCGGCCAAGGUCCUCCAGCUAGUCGGGGUUGAGCGUGUUUAACCUUAGGAAACGUGACUGCAGAGCAAGGGGCUUUCAUCUUCCUGUGGGAAUUCGCCCCCUUUCUCACAGGGGCCCUCAAGAGACUAGGCAGGCUCCUCCUGCAAAGGAUUCCUCUUUGUCCAUUUGAGAGGCCUCACCCCAGGCUCUAGGAGCUGACAUGAUUCAGCUCAAGGAAGACUCAGUAUGAAGGGAGAACCAGGAACCUGGGCCUCUGCCCCUCACCUGUGGCCUUGAACAGGUCACUUCUCCCCUCAAGCCUUGGUGUCCUCCCCUGUAGAGCUGAGGGGGUGAGGAGUAGAUGAGCUGAUCCUUCAGUUUGCUGCCCUCUUUGACCCGGAAGUGCUGGGCCUGCACAACCCUGCAUCCCUGGCACCAGUGCUCCUAGCCCCACCCUGCUCCAGAUGCCCAGUGCCUGAAGAGCCAGCUCCCCAUCAGCACUCAGUCCUGGGGCAGAGCCAGGCCUGGCAAUGCUGGGGGAGACCCUGGAGGGGAACAUCAUGGGCCACCAGGGGCACGCUGCAAAUGCAGCAACUAAUGCACCAGGGGCGCCAGGGUGCAAUCUAUCUAAGCAGUUCUCUCACGCUCUUUGCACGUUAAUAAUGCAUGGGCAGCCGGUGUGGGGGCCAUCACAGGCCCAACGUCAGGUGGCAUUAGGA